UCUAAUUAUCUUUUUUAAUUAAUUCUUAGCAGUUUUUUUAAAUUUCAAAAACAACGUUAUUAUUGCUUAAUGAAAAAUUAAAAAUAAGGGUUGCGCCCGUUAAAGGAGUUAACCAAACAUCUCAAAACACGAGCUAACGACAGCCAUGCAGCACCUGUCCAUCAACCGAGUAUGAAAAAAAAAUUUUCAUACACAAUUCCUACAUUUUAAAUAAAGAAUAAGCUGAUGAUUCAAAGACUGGUAAGGUUUUGCGUGUUAUGUCGCAUUAAACCAGAUGCCCCACCGCUUGUUCAGACCUCCGUCAAUUCCUUAGAGUUUCAACCUUGCGACUUUAGUACCCAGGCGGAAUGUUUACGCGUUAGCUUAAACAUCGACUAUAAAUUUAGCCAACAUUCAACAU
rnacentral:misc_RNA from 1 species